rnacentral:rRNA from 1 species
AACGAACGCUGGCGGCAUGCCUAACACAUGCAAGUCGAACGAGACCUUCGGGUCUAGUGGCGCACGGGUGCGUAACGCGUGGGAACCUGCCCUUAGGUUCGGAAUAACUCCCCGUAAGGGGUGCUAAUACCGGAUAAUUUCUUCGGACCAAAGAUUUAUCGACUUUGGAUGGGCCCGCGUUGGAUUAGCUAGUUGGUAGGGUAAAAGCCUACCAAGGCGACGAUCCAUAGCUGGUCUGAGAGGAUGAUCAGCCACACUGGGACGGAGACACGGCCCAGACUCCUACGGGAGGGAGCAGUGGGGGAUAUUGGACAAUGGGCGAAAGCCUGAUCCAGCAAUGCCGCGUGAGUGAUGAAGGCCUUAGAGUUGUAAAGCUCUUUUACCCGGGAUGAUAAUGACAGUACCGGGAGAAUAAGCUCCGGCUAACUCCGUG